UACAUACUUGCUCAAUGGUAGAGCGAUCGACUAUUACUCGAUUGGUUGCAGGUUCAAAUCCUGCGUAUGAACCA
rnacentral:tRNA from 1 species